GACGAACGCUGGCGGCGUGCUUAACACAUGCAAGUCGAGCGAGGCCCCUCCUUCGGGAGGGUGUCCUAGCGGCGAACGGGUGAGUAACACGUGGGCAACCUGCCCUCAGCUCUGGGAUAACUCCGGGAAACCGGGGCUAAUACCGGAUACGACCUCCACGGGCAUCUGCGGAGGUGGAAAGUUUUUCGGCUGAGGCUGGGCCCGCGGCCUAUCAGCUAGUUGGUGGGGUAGUGGCCCACCAAGGCGACGACGGGUAGCCGGCCUGCGAGGGCGACCGGCCACACUGGGACUGAGACACGGCCCAGACUCCUACGGGAGGCAGCAGUGGGGAAUAUUGCGCAAUGGGCGAAAGCCUGACGCAGCGACGCCGCGUGAGGGACGAAGGCCUUCGGGUUGUAAACCGCUUUCAGCAGGGACGAAGCGAAAGUGACGGUACCUGCAGAAGAAGCACCGGCCAACUACGUG
rnacentral:rRNA from 1 species